ACGCGCGCAUGCGCACUGUGCCCUACCUGCGCCUGGGCUGCCAGUGACCUGGGCUGGGUCUGCCCUGGGGGCUAAGGUAGCGGACGAGGCGGCGGGUGGCUCGGCGGCGCGGAGGGAGGCUGCUGACUCCCGGAGGCCGCCGUCCGGGAGAGGUGUCCUCAUGACUUCUCUUGCGGACCAUGUCCAUGAUCCUCUUUGCCUGUGUGGUAAGGGUGAGGGAUGGACUGCCCCUCUCGGCCUCCACUGACUUCUACCACACCCAAGAGUUUCUGGAAAUCAGGAGACGGCUCAAGACUUUAGCCUUGCGACUGGCCCAGUAUCCAGGUCGAGGUUCUGCACAAGGACGUGACCUCAAUAUACACUUUUCUUCUUCAGGGGAUGUGGCCUGCAUGGCUAUCUGCUCCCACCGGUGCCCAGCAGCCAUGGCCUUCUGCUUCCUGGAGACCUUGUGGUGGGAAUUCACAGCUUCCUAUGACACCACCUGCAUUGGCCUCGCCUCCAGGCCAUACGCCUUUCUGGAAUUUGACAGCAUCAUUCAGAAAGUGAAGUGGCAUUUUAACCAUGUGACCUCUGCUCAGUUGGGGAGCAGCUUAGAAAAGAUGCAGGAGGAGCUGGAGUUCCAGCCUCCAGCGGCUCUCACUCUGGAGGACCCAGAUGUGGCAAAUGGGGUGAUGAACGGCCACACGCAGAUGCCCCUGGAGCCCGCUCCUAAUUUCCGAAUGGAACCAGUGACGGCCCUGGGUGUCCUCUCCCUUGUCCUCAACAUCAUGUGCGCGGCUCUGAAUCUCAUUCGUGGCAUUCACCUUGCAGAGCAUUCUUUACAGGUUACCCAUGAGGAAGUUGGAAAUAUUCUGGCUUUUCUUAUUCCUUUUGUAGCCUGCAUUUUCCAGUGUUACCUGUACCUGGUCUACAGUCCAGCCAGGACGGCGAAGGUGGUGUUGACGCUGCUCUUCAUUUGCCUGGGCAACGUGUACCUGCACGGGCUGCGGAACCCCUGGCAGAUCCUCUUCCACGUGGGCGUGGCUUCUCUGUCUUCACACCAGAUACUGACGCGGCAGCUCCAGGAGAAGCCGGCUGACUGUGGAGUGUGAGGAGCGGGCCCUUUUGUUAUCACAUGAGGGUCAUCUCUGUUUCCCUUUUGGCUUCUCGACUUCACCUCCAGUUUCCAUCCUUGAAGUUCAUUUUGACCAGACGGGACUGAGCGAGACUGGGGACUUCUGACAGGUGCAGUGGAGGCUUGGGGUCGCUCGAGGCCCAGGCCCCGUUUCGAGCUGAGCGUUACCGCCGGCUCUCCAGUUCGGCACGUUUACCUAGGACAGCAGACGCUGGGCUGAAUUCAGACAGAGCGUAUCGGAAGACCAGAAGGGAAUUCUUUUGGUCUUUUAAACCGAAUGAUGCAAUAAACCACUAGAUUCAGUAGUGCUAGUUUUAGUGAUAGGCAGUUGUCUCUGAGGAACCGCGUUCAAAUCCUUAUCAGCGUUUUAGUCUAAAUGUGACUUGAUUAGGUAUUUUUGAGGGUCAGUACAGGGUGAAUUAAAAACUUAAAAAUAUGGUUCAUGAAUUAAGCAACAUAAAUUUUGUUUACAUUUUUGAUAACAGGAUAGUUAUCAAUAUGAUACUUUUAGAACAGUUAAAUAUAUUUUGGAUAUAAAUUGAACUUAUCUACAUUUAGGGUAAGGACAGACUUAAGCUGAGAAAAUGGUUAAGAAAGCUCAGUUUAUUUAAUUUAUAAAUAUAACCUUAUAUGGUGGUGGGACAGUGUGGGUACGGCAAUGUUUUGUAUGUUUUGUGCAGGGCAUAUCUGAACAUUUUAAAAAAUUAAUUGAGCAAGAUUCCUUGCCAUGGGUCCGGAACUGGAGCAGGGGAGCCACACGGAUUCCCACGGGCGCACUUUUCGGACGCUGGUGGGAGAGGCUGUUGCUGGCAGCCUUGCACGUAUGUGGCAGCUGGGGCCUGUCAUUUUAAUGAUGAACACUUGACUCUGUGUACCUGUUCCCAGAAGACCUCCCAAAUUAAUCACUCCUCUCCACCUUUCCCAGUCAUCUUAGUUGGAUCAACAGCCUCAUUUUUUUAUGAAUAAGAGUUAGGUAGGUGUUAACUUUUUAAAAACUUUACAAAUAUAGCAUUAACCCUGUGCUAGGAAACCUUUUCUUUAUCUCACUGUCAAAAUACUGAGUGAUUAUCGUUUUCCCCAACGUGGCUGUGAGUCCGACCUUAGCUUGUUUAGUGCCACCCAGGGGCCAGUGUGGAAGCUGCCCCUAGAUUGUUGUUGGUAGAAGUCUGGGAUCUGAAUGGCUCAGCCACAGCUGUAUGGGAUACUUUGAGUGGAAUUAUGUAGUCUUGAUAAGUUAAAAAAAAAAUCCUAUUUUGGUAGUUUUUAUAAGUUGAAAAGCAGUGCAAGAGAUAUUGGGCACAGGAGAAGGAUAUUGUUUCAGUGGAUUUGCCCUCCUUGGUUAUUCCUGGUGGUGUGUUGCCACUGAGCUACCUUGGUAUCACUUUAAGAAAAACAAGUGUAUGUGGCUGGGAACUGUUGGGGAACUGUUGCCAGAGUGAUUUUAUUUUCUUACAAUGGAAUUUUCUAUUUUUACUCAAAUAAAAUAUCUGGAUAUGAAAGUCCUACUGGCAACACCCUCAGAUGGAAACUUCAGCGCUGUCGCUCUAUUGAUUUUGGAUCCGGAUAAUUCUGGCACAUCCAGCAGGUGAAUGCUCAGCCUUUCUGGAAGAUCAUUUUGAGGAGAUGGCGAAAUAGAGGGGAAGCUAAGGAGGCGAGACACAAACUUCUAUGGUAGAAGCACAAAGAAGCUGUAAAAGUUGGUAGAACAGCUUACGAAUGACUUGUUUUCUUUUCGAGCCCAUGUGCUUGCCCUGCAGCCCCGAGCCCCAGAGGCCUUGAGCGUCUGAGCCUGUGACCCACUUCCAGCAAGCAUGGCAGACUGUGCUGAGGGGUCCCCCUCCUGGGAGCGCCCCCGCAAGCAUGGCAGGCUGUGCUGAGGGGUCCCCCUCCUGGGAGCGCCCCCGCAAGCAUGGCAGGCUGUGCUGAGGGGUCCCCCUCCUGGGAGCGCCCCAGCAAGCAUUACAGACUGUGCUUGAGGGGUCCCCCUCCUGGGAGUGCUCCCUGCAUUGGCCGCCAUGGUCUCCACACUUGAGUGACUGUGGUCUUGGGGUUUGAGGUUUCCUUUUGCCAGUUAAAGGGAGAAGAGGACCAGCCAAGCAGUACAAACGCAUGACCACACAAACACUGUUUAACUGAAAUCCAGCUAAGAGAGGCCUCAGCCCACUGGAGGGAGAAACUGCUGAGAGGAAAGAAGGACUUGAGAUUUCGUCCAAGGCCAGUCCCAGCUCAGGAGUGACUUGGUCCAGGCCUGAAUGGUUAAAGGCCACCUGCCCCACCCACCUCACAGGGUGAGGUCUGGGACAAGAUGAAAUGAAACCUCACAAGUGCCUUCAGGUAUCGGCUGCUGCAAGAGCAGGAGCGUCAGUGUCGUGUCCUGUCGAGGGUCCGGGCGGGAAUGUGGCUCGGGCUCCCGAGCAGGGUUCCCCUUCCCCUGGAUGCCGUGGGGGAGGCACCAGGACUCUGUUGCUUUCCGUGCCCCCGGCGAGCCUGGCUGUGACUAGGACCCUUCCGGGUGGUCCUUUUUCUGAGAGGAGAUAGUCGGCACCUUUGGGGUGGGAUUCCCUCUGGUACUAGAGGCCCCUCUGCCUGUGGCAGGAGGAAUGUGAACGCUGUUGACAGGCACUGAGUCAGGGCCCAGCACUUUAAAGAUCUUUGAGGGCUGUGAGAAGGGUGUUUGGAAGAGUGCUAAAACGAAAACAUUUCAUCAUCAUUUCAUCAUUUCUAUCAACCUCACCUUGAGCUCCAUUCUUUUCCCAGAUGCCCUUCUCCAGUUCUCCCCUCCUCUCCACCUCUGCCCCACACUCCAGCCCCGGCCACAGAGGCUGACACUGGACCCUGGAGGGAUGGGAAAGGCACCUUUCAUUGUAACUGGUAGGGUGCCUACAGGAGCUUCAGAGAGGGCGCGGGCUGUGUACCCCAAGGAGCUUCAGCACACUCCUGGGGGUCUGGCCUCGGAGGGAAGCAUCGCUUUGGUGGUGAGCACUGCACAGCGUCAUAGACGACCACCAGCCAGGCUGGCCAUUUGGGGCGCGGGAAGCAGGGGGUGAGGGAUCAGAGCUGGGGGCUCUCUGUCUGUUGGAAGACGGCAGCUGCCCCUUGGCAUGUGGAGGCUGCAGGUUGCACCCCCAUCCCGGGCUGCCAUUGGCCGUUCCUCAAAGGAGUUGGCCGCUCACUGUAACUGGAGGACAGGUGGCCCUCAGAGAGCCCGCUGCUGGCUCAGUCAACACAGGCGAGGCCUGAGGACCGGCAGGGAUGGGGGUAUUGGCUGCGACCAGACGUGUGCCCCGCUCUGACGGUUCACAUUCCAUUGCUCCUGCACGGAGUCCUGCCCAGGUGCAGGGGAGCUCCGCCUGUGCCCUGAGUGAUCAUAGAGGAGGAGCAGGAGAGAGCAGGUGUGCCCUUGAGGGGUGAGGCUGGGGAAGCGACAGCACAGUGGGUGAGUCACUGCCCGCCGGCCCCGUGUCCUCAUCCGGGAGAUGUGAUAACCUCAGCCUCUCCCUGGCGUGCUCUCCUGAGGACAAAGGCGCAGUGGAGGAGGAUGCUGGGCGAACCCAUCCCUGGUGGGCAGGAGGACGGCUUUGAGUUCACAGAGAUUCUGUGCCCGCUUCAGGUGGCGCAGCACAGCCCUGUCUUCUGGCCUUUACAAAAAGGGGCAUUUUAUGGCACUGCCAUGUGAAUGGCCUCAUUCUCCACCCCCAGAAAGGUAGCGGCCUCUCUUCCACCCCCUGGACCUGGCCCCUGCCUUCCAGGCUCAGAGCCCUUGGCACCAUGGGUGUUGGGUCCUCCAGGAUUCCGGGGGGGCUGGAGGGGGCGGUCUGCUGGUUGUGGUUGAGACCUUUCCUAGAGACCCAGAGACCAAACCUCAAGGUCUGCCCCCCAACGAGGAGCGCUCUGCUUUCCCGUGUGGGAGCAGUGAUGGCAAAUUCUGUUGCUGGGGCAACGUCAUUGGCAGGGAACCUGUGGAAACGGGCUUGUCAGUAAAAUCUGGGAAUGGCCGGAUAUGGAAACAUCUGGCUGUGUGUACCGACGGCGGGGCUGUUGCCCACAAGCGCCUUGUAUUUAGGGUAAACUUACCAAAUCCAUUCUGUCCCUCCAACCUGUGCUUGGUACAGAUGACCUCCCCCCCCCUUUACGCCUGUGUGAUCCUGGGGUUGCUUCGGAAGUAGUGUUUAAUGCGUUAUUCACAUGACCCCCAGGAUUCUGUUUUGUUUAAUGGACUUUUCUAUUAAGAGCAUAAAUGACUGAGGCUGACUGGGCCAGGGCACCCACUUCACAUAUUCCUUUUGAAUGCUUACUGUUUCCAUGUAAUAACAAAGACCUAUUUUGACCAAAUGAUGGGUACUUUUAACAAACUUCCGCACAGUAGUGAAGCCUAAACGUGUGUUCAUGUAUGUGGCGAAUGUUGUAUGGCAUUAUAUACUGUGUAUAUGUACAUUACAUGAGGUGGCUUCAGGCGUGGGGGGAGAAUAAAUCCAAGGUGCUUAUUAA